rnacentral:rRNA from 1 species
AGACGUCUACAUUAGAUACCCCGGUAGUCCCAGCCGUAAACUAUGCGCGUUAGGUGUAUCGGUGACCACGAGUUACCGAGGUGCCGAAGGGAAACCGUGAAACGUGCCGCCUGGGAAGUACGGUCGCAAGGCUGAAACUUAAAGGAAUUGGCGGGGAGCACCACAACAGGUGGAGCCUGCGGUUUAAUUGGACUCAACGCCGGGAAGCUCACCGGAUAGGACAGCAGAAUGAUUGCCGGGCUGAAGACUCUGCAUGACUGGCUG